rnacentral:tRNA from 1 species
GGAUAGAGUAAUUGGUUAACUCGAUAGGCUCAUGAUCUGUAAAUGAAGGUUCAAGUCCUUCUCC